rnacentral:SRP_RNA from 1 species
CCGUGCUAGACGGGGAGGUAGCGGUUCCUUGUAACCCGCAGUCCGCUAUAGCGGGGUUUAAUUCCUUUGAUAAGGGUCGGGCAAUCGGGGUCAGUCCGUGUUUUUGAUGUGAUGAUUUUUUGGUCUUGCGCAACGGAACACUUCGAACCGUGUCAGAUCCUGACGGAAGCAGCACUAAGGAGUUCGUUUUCGUGUGCCGCAAGGUUGCCGAGAAUGAGCGUUGGUCCACGGGAAACGUCCGGGGGUUGCGAUUCGAUUCAAAGGUGCACGG